AACGCAUCUUGCGCUCCUUGGUAUUCCGAGGAGCAUGCCUGUUUGAGUGUCAUUUAACUUCUCUCAACUGCAUCACUCAGUCUGAUGUGGCUUGGACGUGGGGCUUGCAGGCUUUGAAUGAAGUCUGCUCCCCUGAAAUGAAUUAGUGGUAUCUGAGCUGCCAAUAGGUGUGAUAAUUAUUUACUCCUUUUGGUCAUGCUGGUUGUGCUGCUUCUAACAAACACUUGUUUGACAAAUUUGACCUCAAAUCAGGUAGGACUACCCGCUGAACUUAA
rnacentral:misc_RNA from 1 species